rnacentral:rRNA from 1 species
UACGUAGGGUGCAAGCGUUGUCCGGAAUUAUUGGGCGUAAAGAGCUCGUAGGCGGCCUGCUAAGUCGAACGUGAAAUCCCCGGGCUCAACCCGGGAACUGCGUCCGAUACUGGUUGGCUUGAAUCCGGGAGAGGGAUGCGGAAUUCCAGGUGUAGCGGUGAAAUGCGUAGAUAUCUGGAGGAACACCGGUGGCGAAGGCGGCAUCCUGGACCGGCAUUGACGCUGAGGCGCGAAAGCCAGGGGAGCAAACGGG